rnacentral:rRNA from 1 species
GGGGGGGGGGGGGGGGGGGGGGGGGGGGGGGGGGGGGGGGGGGGGGGGCCGGCGGGGGGGGGGGGCGCGGGUGGCGAACGGGUGAGUAACACGUGAGUGACCUGCCCGUGACUUGGGGAUGGCGUCAGGAAACUGGGGCUGAUACCGGAGAGGAGCUCCUGCUGCAGGGUGGGGGUUGGAAAGGUUCGGCGGUUGGGGAUGGACUCGCGGCUUAUCAGCUUGUUGGUGGGGUAGUGGCUUACCAAGGCUUUGACGGGUAGCCGGCCUGAGAGGGUGACCGGCCACAUUGGGACUGAGAUACGGCCCAGACUCCUACGGGAGGCAGCAGUGGGGAAUAUUGCACAAUGGGCGGAAGCCUGAUGCAGCAACGCCGCGUGCGGGAUGACGGCCUUCGGGUUGUAAACCGCUUUCGCCUGUGACGAAGCGUGAGUGACGGUAAUGGGUAAAGAAGCACCGACUAACUACGUG